UGGCUCAGGAUGAACGCUAGCUACAGGCUUAACACAUGCAAGUCGAGGGGCAGCAUUGGGAUAGCUGCUAUCCAGAUGGCGACCGGCGCACGGGUGAGUAACGCGUAUCCAACCUUCCCUAUAGUAGAGAAUAGCCCGGCGAAAGUCGGAUUAAUGCUCUAUGUUGUGUUUUGAGGACAUCUGACGAACACCAAAGGUUCACCGCUAUAGGAUGGGGAUGCGUCUGAUUAGCUUGUUGGCGGGGUAACGGCCCACCAAGGCGACGAUCAGUAGGGGUUCUGAGAGGAAGGUCCCCCACAUUGGUACUGAGACACGGACCAAACUCCUACGGGAGGCAGCAGUGAGGAAUAUUGGUCAAUGGGCGAGAGCCUGAACCAGCCAAGUAGCGUGCAGGAAUGACUGCCCUAUGGGUUGUAAACUGCUUUUAUCAGGGAAUAAAGUGCGGCACGUGUGCCGUUUUGUAUGUACCUGAUGAAUAAGGACCGGCUAAUUCCGUGCCAGCAGCCGC
rnacentral:rRNA from 1 species